CCUACGGGUGGCAGCAGUGGGGAAUAUUGCACAAUGGACGAAAGCCUGAUGCAGCAACGCCGCGUGAGGGAUGAAGGCCUUCGGGUUGUAAAGCUCUUUCCACAUGGAAGAUAAUGACGGUACUUGAGUAAGAAGCCCCGGCUAACUACGUGCCAGCAGCCGCGGUAAUACGUAGGGGGCCAGCGUUAUCCGGAUUUACUGGGCGGAAAGGGAGCGUAGGUGGUUUGUUAAGUCAGUUGGGAAAUGCUGGGGCUCAACCCGGAUAGUGCAGUUGAACCUGGCAAACUGGCGUUCAGGAGAGGUGAGCGGAAGUCGUGGUGUAGCGGUGAAAUGCAUAGAUAUUAGGAGGAACACCAGUUGCGAAGGCAGCUCACUGGACUGUAACUGACACUGAGGCUCGAAAGCGUGGGUAGCAAACAGGAUUAGAUACCCUGGUAGUC
rnacentral:rRNA from 1 species